CCGGCGCACGGGUGAGUAACACGUAUGCAACCUGGCCGCCACAGGGGGAUAACCCGCGGAAACGCGGCCUAAUACUCCGUGACGCCACCGGAGGGCAUCCUCCGGUGGCCAAAGGAGCGAUCCGGUGGCGGAUGGGCAUGCGGCGCAUUAGCUAGACGGCGGGGUGACGGCCCACCGUGGCGACGAUGCGUAGGGGUUCUGAGAGGAAGGCCCCCCACACUGGGACUGAGACACGGCCCAGACUCCUACGGGAGGCAGCAG
rnacentral:rRNA from 1 species